rnacentral:rRNA from 1 species
CUGCGCAGCUACCAUGCAGUCGAACGGGCGUAUCAUACGUCAGUGGCAACGGGUGAGUAACGCGUGGGAACGUACCUUUUGGUUCGGAACAACUGAGGGAAACUUCAGCUAAUACCGGAUAAGCCCUUACGGGGAAAGAUUUAUCGCCGAAAGAUCGGCCCGCGUCUGAUUAGCUAGUUGGUGAGGUAAUGGCUCACCAAGGCGACGAUCAGUAGCUGGUCUGAGAGGAUGAUCAGCCACAUUGGGACUGAGACACGGCCCAAACUCCUACGGGAGGCAGCAGUGGGGAAUAUUGGACAAUGGGGGCAACCCUGAUCCAGCCAUGCCGCGUGAGUGAUGAAGGCCCUAGGGUUGUAAAGCUCUUUUGUGCGGGAAGAUAAUGACGGUACCGCAAGAAUAAGCCCCGGCUAACUUCGUGCCAGCAGCCGCGGUAAUACGAAGGGGGCUAGCGUUGCUCGGAAUCACUGGGCGUAAAGGGUGCGUAGGCGGGUUUCUAAGUCAGAGGUGAAAGCCUGGAGCUCAACUCCAGAACUGCCUUUGAUACUGGAAGUCUUGAGUAUGGCAGAGGUGAGUGGAACUGCGAGUGUAGAGGUGAAAUUCGUAUAUAUUCGCAAGAACACCAGUGGCGAAGGCGGCUCACUGGGCCAUUACUGACGCUGAGGCACGAAAGCGUGGGGGAGCAAACAGGAUUAGAUACCCUGGUAGUCCACGCCGUAAACGAUGAAUGCCAGCCGUUAGUGGGUUUACUCACUAGUGCCGCAGCUAACGCUUUAAGCAUUCCGCCUGGGGGAGUACGGGUCGCAAGAUUAAAACUUCAAAG